AUUGAACGCUGGCGGCAUGCCUUACACAUGCAAGUCGAACGGUAACAGGGAGCUUGCUCCGCUGACGAGUGGCGAACGGGUGAGUAAUGUAUCGGAACGUACCUUUUAGUGGGGGAUAACGUAGCGAAAGUUACGCUAAUACCGCAUAUUCUCUGAGGAGGAAAGCAGGGGACCUUCGGGCCUUGCGCUAAUAGAGCGGCUGAUAUCAGAUUAGCUAGUUGGUGAGGUAAAGGCUCACCAAGGCGACGAUCUGUAGCGGGUCUGAGAGGAUGAUCCGCCACACUGGAACUGGGACACGGUCCAGACUCCUACGGGAGGCAGCAGUGGGGAAUUUUGGACAAUGGGGGCAACCCUGAUCCAGCCAUGCCGCGUGAGUGAAGAAGGCCUUCGGGUUGUAAAGCUCUUUCGGCCGGGAAAAAAUCGCAUGGGCUAAUACCCUGUGUGGAUGAUGGUACCGGAAUAAGAAGCACCGGCUAACUACGUGCCAGCCGCCGCUGUAAUAC
rnacentral:rRNA from 1 species